rnacentral:rRNA from 1 species
CCUACGGGAGGCAGCAGUGAGGAAUAUUGGUCAAUGGGCGCGAGCCUGAACCAGCCAAGCCGCGUGAAGGAUGACUGCACUGCGGGUUGUAAACUUCUUUUAUCAGGGAAUAAAGUGAGGCACGUGUGCCUUUUUGUAUGUACUUUAUGAAUAAGGAUCGGCUAACUCCGUGCCAGCAGCCGCGGUAAUACGGAGGAUCCGAGCGUUAUCCGGAUUUAUUGGGUUUAAAGGGUGCGUAGAUGGGUUGUUAAGUCAGUUGUGAAAGUUCGCGGCUCAACCGUAAAAUUGCAAUUGAUACUGGCAGGCUUGAGUACAGUUGAGGUAGGCGGAAUUCGUGGUGUAGCGGGGAAAUGCUUAGAUAUCACGAAGAACUCCGAUUGCGAAGGCAGCUUACUAAACUGCCACUGACAUUGAUGCUCGAAAGUGUGGGUAUCAAACAGGAUUAGAUACCCUUGGAGUC